ensembl:misc_RNA 7SK 7SK RNA
GGAUGUGAGGGCAAUUAGGCUGCAGUCAUCUGUCACCCCAUUGAUGGCCAAGUGGAUUCAGCUGAUCUGGAUGACUAGGCGGGUCCCAUUCCUCCCUCACCGCUCCAUGUGUGUUCCACUGGCAGCUCAGUCAAAGAGGACGGCCUUCUCCAAAUAGAGACAGACUGGUCUUCAGUUGAGCGUAUAGGAGUAGCUGCACUCCCCUGCGAGAAUCUCCAAACAGGCUCUCAAGGAAUCCCGCCUCCACCACUUACCAUGUAAGUUGGGGUAAACGGUCUUGUCUUUUUGAGCUUCCUAUGACUUAUUGUUCAUCACUAGUAGUUCAGUG